rnacentral:tRNA from 1 species
GCCGGGAUGGCGAAAUUGGCAUACGCAGCAGACUCAAAAUCUGCCGGAAUUUAAUUCCGUGGGGGUUCGAAUCCCCCUCCCGGCACCA